UACGAAGGGGGGCUAGCGUUGCUCGGAAUCACUGGGCGUAAAGCGCACGUAGGCGGACUCUUAAGUCAGGGGUGAAAUCCUGGAGCUCAACUCCAGAACUGCCUUUGAUACUGGGAGCCUUGAGUUCGGGAGAGGUGAGUGGAACUGCGAGUGUAGAGGUGAAAUUCGUAGAUAUUCGCAAGAACACCAGUGGCGAAGGCGGCUCACUGGCCCGAUACUGACGCUGAGGUGCGAAAGCGUGGGGAGCAAACAGG
rnacentral:rRNA from 1 species